AUUUGUGAUUCUUAUGUUGACAAAAGUGAUGCUUGUACACUUUGUACCUCAGGUACCCGAUCUGAUGGUUGACCUGCUCCAAACACAGAUUCUACAAUGUGUCCCUCUCCCAAUCCCCUGACAGGUGGAAAAUCAGAAACAGUACUCAAACUCAAGAUCUCAGGAUAAAAAAAAAUUGACGCCUCAUCCAGUUUUAUUGGUGAUCAAAAACAAAGUCUGUCCAAAUAGGAUGCCAGCCUGGUGCAUUCACUGGUCUGUGAGACCAGGUUAAACACCAGGCUUACAAAACAUUGGGUAUGUUUUAUCUUGUGAUUCUCCUUCUUAUGACAAACAACACUUUAGACAACACAAUGUAAAAUGAAAGUCCAAAUAUAGAGCAAGAAGGAAUAAAAGAGAAUGGCCUGAUUUCACCAAAGAUGCCAAACAAAUGAAAGUCAGUAGCAAAAUCCAGAUACCAAACUAAGAAACCAAGAAAAUCGAAGAAAAAAUAGUAGAGGAACUGAAACACACACAUAAAGCAGAAUGCAGACUUGUGCUGACUUAGUCACAUCAGCAAAGACUCAACAAGCCAUGAAAAGCAAGGUGCAAGGAGUCUCCAUGGGAACCACUGGUUGAAGGAUGGGGUCUGCAGUAACAAGCAGUAUAGACCAAAUCUCACUGGUGGUCUAGGGAAACUGUGCACAUAAAGAUAACCCAAAUAAGAAUAACCAGAACCUAUUUAUUCAGAGUUUGCAUGCCACCAUUACUUGCAUCUGACAGAGACUCAAAGGCAAAAAGGAAAAUGAAAAAACUUUAAUGGUGAAAAAAAGAAAAGACUCCCAGUGUGCUCUGAUUGGGGGGUUGCUGGCAUGGGGAAGCUGGAAGUUGGCGAACUAGAAAUGGGACAACUUAUGUGAUUGGUUUGAGGAUCUAUUUGGUUUUCUCUGGUUGGUUCUGGUUGGAGCGAGGCAAAAUAUUGGCAGUCACUGACCAUUCUGGGCUGAUUGCUGCAGAGGUUGUGGGUCAGAGUUCUACUUUUAUACAUGGUCUGGCCAUUGUCUAUUUGUACAUUCACUCUCUGACACAUAUUCUAAUAUUAUGUCUUUGCCUCCUGAUUUUUAAGUUUUAAAUCUUUGGAAAAUGUGUCUAUUUAAUAAGAGUUAUUAUUAAAGCUUUUAAAUUAUUUUUCUGUCCUCUACAAACAUAAGAGAAAAACUCUCCAUAUCGUAUGCCUCCUUAAUAUAUUUACUAUUUCCAUUGAUAAUCUUAGUAAUAGAAUGAAAAUGAUAGAGUAGAUUCAAAUUCCUACCUAGUCACUUAGAAGCAUCAUAAUUUUCAAGCUUCUUAACUGCUAGGGUUUGAAUGCAUCCCCUCCAAAACUUAUGUUGAAACUCACUUCCCAAUCCAGCAGUAUUAAGAGGAGGGGCCUUUUGGAGGUGAUUAGGCUAUGAAGGCUCUGACCUCAUGGAUGAGAUUACUGCCUCAUAAAAGGUCUGGAGAUAACUACCUUGGCCCUUUUAACUCUUUCCUUCUGCCUGUCAUGCGAGGACACAGUAUUUAUCCCCUCUAAAGGACACAGUGUUUAAGACAUCAUCUUGGAAGCAGACACUGGGCUCUCAGCAGACACCAAAACUGCUGGCACGUUGAUCUUGGAAUUCCCACCCUCCACAACUAAACAUAUGCGGAAGAGCCCAGAGGGGAGUGGGAAGACAAUAUGCUCCGGGACUGAGGUGGGAUAAGAAGACUCUUUAAAAAAAAAAAAAAAAAAAGUUAAGUGCGAGAUGCCAGGGGAAGCUUACUGCGACGAGACUUUCAGGGUCCUGGAGCCCCGGUCGGCACGGUCCAGGUCCUGUGCAAGCCUGCUUGUCCACAGACAUCAGCCUCCCUUUGAACGCCUCCCCAGAUACUCUACUUCCAGACCUAGCAGUGAACACCACCGCCACCCAGUUUAGAGCCUAGAGCCGGCGUGCUUGGUCUGCGCGUGCGCGCUUGGCCUGCGCCGACCGAAAGGGCGCGCGCAAGAGCAGACCUGCGGAGUUGGCUGUGACGUCCUUUCCUGCCUCGGAAGCCAUGGUUUGUAAGCAGCAGGGCUUUGCGGCGGCGGGGCCACAGCGAGACCUGCUUCUGUGACCCAGCGCUAGUGUAGGGGUUCCUGCGAAAAGCAGAGAGGAGAAUUGCGCGUCUGGACUUGUCUGGGCUAUCCUCAACCCUCUCCCCAGAGACAUGAAACGGUUUAUUCUCCCGCAGAAGAAAGGGACAGUGGCCCCCGGCUCCUCCAGGACUCGAGGAGAGGCCUCAGGGCGCUGGCUGGAGACGAGGGAUGGGAACCGUGCGCCAUGACAGAGCUCGAGAAAAUCCACCGGGGUGCCGCUUGGGCAACGUGGCGAAAGUGCAGCACAGUGUUUUGCUGGGGAUCUCUGGUCUCAACCUAGGAGUCAAAAAGGACAGGUAACAGGACGGCGCGACAGGAGGCACACAGGCCCCGUGGGUCUGAGCCCGGGACAGAUUCUGGGAGAGGCGCGCUCUGACCUGGAGUCCACCACUGCAGAGCUGGUCAAGUCCUCAAGUUCUGAGAGGCCUGUUCUGUCCUUCUAAGGCUCCUUCAGCCAGGGACACCGAAGCACCUAAAACAGUAACUGCACACAGACUCCAGGCCAAGUGUGCCUGUCAGUCUUUCAUAAAUCAAAUCUUUAAAAACAGCACAAAGAAUGGGGGGUGGGGAACCGGGGGGUCGGGGGACAACACACCUUUAGCUGGAUCCUUGUCUUUUUACAGCUCACCAUUAUAGACCACUUGACUGACAACUUUAAAGUGGUUUCAUUAAAUAUAAAUAACAAUAGAAAUAAAGUAUAUACACCGUCA